rfam:Phaeobacter sp. CECT 7735 genome assembly, contig: 0001
GCUCGUCAGGCUCAUAACCUGAAGGUCGUAGGUUCAAAUCCUACCCCCGCAA